rnacentral:rRNA from 1 species
GACGAACGCUGGCGGCGUGCCUAAUACAUGCAAGUCGAGCGCAGGAAGCUGACGGAACUCUUCGGAGGGAAGGCAGCGGAAUGAGCGGCGGACGGGUGAGUAACACGUAAGGAGCCUGCCUCAAGGAUUGGGAUAACUCCGAGAAAUCGGAGCUAAUACCGGAUAGUUCAACGGACCGCAUGGUCCGCUGAUGAAAGGCGCUCCGGCGUCACCUUGAGAUGGCCUUGCGGUGCAUUAGCUAGUUGGUGGGGUAACGGCCCACCAAGGCGACGAUGCAUAGCGGACCUGAGAGGGUGGUCGGCCACACGGGGACUGAGACACGGCCCAGACUCCUACGGGAGGCAGCAGUAGGGAAUCUUCCACAAUGGGCGAAAGUCUGAUGGAGCAACGCCGCGUGAGUGAUGAAGGUUUUCGGAUCGUAAAACUCUGUUGUAAGGGAAGAACACGUACGAGAGGGAAUGCUCGUACCUUGACGGUACCUUACGAGAAAGCCACGGCUAACUACGUGCCAGCAGCCGCCGUAA